GGUUGGGGCCCAUUGAUGUAAGCCAUUAUUCUUAUACAUGUUGUCUGUCUUCCUUCGAAGGAGACAGGCUGCAGACUUCCAAGUCACUCUGGCUUAUAUGUAAUGCCCUGCUCUCCUUCGUCUCUUUCACAGGCUCGAGGAGACUUUUCCUGCCGCAGCACAGGCUGUUCUUGCAUGCUGAGACAAGCAGCCUCAGGGUGCAGGGUGGAAUUGCUACACCAUCUCCCUUGGGUGUCUGUUAUCAGGGAUUGAUGGCAGACCCAGCCUAGAGCAUUUGGAGGUGGUCUGAGUGGGGUAUGGGGUGAGGGAGUUUCCCAAAGAGCCAAAGAGUGACUUGCCCUUCCUGAAAACUGUGCCAUAGAAAACCUAAGUUUUGCCUUCCAUCCGACAGCAACUUCCUUUAAAAGCAUCAAGGAAGGGAAACACACAGAGGAGGCGGAGCCAGUUGGAGCUACAGCUUAGGCCCUGAACUGGGAUGCUGGUCCCCUGGGAUCCUGUCUGGAUUUACAGAGGCUGUUUUUUUGAUCAAAAUAGAGGCCUUAAUGGCUUCCUGUUUAGACGUUAUUGCUUUACCAUGAGACCCAUGGGAGAUAGUGUAGCAAUUCUACCCUGCACCCUGAGGUGGAAGAGAUGAGGACACCAGAGUAUUACCUUCUGAGGGUUGGCUGCAUCCUGCCCUGCCUAGUGCUUCUCUGACAACCACAGCUACUCUCUCCAGGCUCUUCCCUCCCCUUUAAACUGAGGGGAGGUAAUGGCUCCUCUGUGUUGCCAGCCCCCGGAUGCUGCACCAACUCUUCUGGGUCUCCUUAACCCUGCUCACACCCUUGUAAAUGCUCCCUAUAAUAAACUCUCCUCGGUUAUCCCCGUUCAGGGCACCAUCUGUUUCCUUCCAGGACGAGCACUCAUAUAAGUCGACAAUGCAUCUGCAUUCUAGAAAAUAAUUCAGUGUUCCAGACAAGAAUAUUGUUGAUUUUUGAAGAAAUUUCCCAUACCUACACUAAAGGAACACCAAAUUUAUUACUGUAUCAGUGAGACAGCUGUUGUGACAGUAAAGUGAGACCCUUGUAGCAAAAGCACUUUUCGGACUCCAUGAUGUUAGGAAACUGCAAAACACCUUCUUCUGAGUCCAGAGACUGGAAAAUGAACUCUUGUGUGGCCUCUAGUACUAGGAUGGCUGAGUUUCUUCAACCUGUUGCAUGCGAAGAAAGUGAAGCAAAGAGAACACAGGCCCUUUUGGUCUGCAAAAGGCAGGUAGCUGCCCUCAUGACCUGACCACAUAGAGGAUGCCAAAAAGUGGGCUCCCUCUGAGAAUAGCAAUGUCCAAAAGAAUAGAGGACAGAGAGAUUGAGAGGAAACCUCAUGAUUCAGAAUGGCAACUCUGCCCUGGCAAAUAUGGUGCAGUGAAUGGAAAACUCUUUUCACUCACCAGUCAGACCAAUCAUUUCUCCUCUCACAGAAUGGAAGGAGUGAGGGAAUGAAGAGAGGAAUAGCAAGUGCUCAGACACAAACUGCUCCUUUCUGAGGCGGGGAAGCAGAAACCCUUUAUCUAUGAGGAUCAAAGGAAAAACGUCCCCAAAUCACAGGCAUUUCUGCGGGAUGUGCAUGGUCCCACAGAGCCCCACCAGGUGGAUAUUUUCCAUGUUGUGAGUACCGGCCUUCCCAUUCCUUUGUUUCUAUAGUUCCUUUUGGACAAGUGCUGCUGUGAGCUUUGUGCCCUGUGUCAUUCAAUCACUUUCUACUCUGCCCCCCUCCCCACCCCGCCACAGUGUCAGGCCCUGAGCCUUUGCCUACCUGCUGUCAGAGCCCUGUGUGGCUUCCUCUCAGGUAGGUGAUAAUGGGGAGUGAGAGCUUUUAAUCAGACAAAUGAAUCAUGCUGAUUAUCCCUAGUUCAAUCAUGGAUUACCCCUGCCAGGGAAUCUCCUGUCUAGUGUUUAAGCCAAUUAAAGGGCUCUGGGGGAGUCCUUGGCUGGGGGUUCAGGAUCAGAGGAGGGCAGGCUAAGGGGAGGCACUGGGGAAGGGGAUUUCAGGGCAAAACACAUCUCACCCUGCAGAUGAUGAGGGGUUCUUCCCAUGUUCAAGGGUGACUGAGACCUUGGUGUGUGGGGUUAAUCACACAGAUGGAUUGCUCAAAGUCCACAGAGCAACCGAAGGGAUAACCCAUGGUCACCAGACCUUGUAAAUUCACCAUUAUCUUCUCCCCUGCUUUUUUUUUUUUUGAGAUGGAGUCUUGCUCUGUUGCCAGGCUGGAGUGCAAUGGCGCAAUCUCGGCUCACUUGCAACCUCCGCCUCCUGGGUUCAAGCGAUCCUCCUCCCUCAGCCUCCUGAGUAGUUGGGAUUACAGGCGCCCGCCACCACAGCCAGCUAAUUUUUGUAUUUUUAGUAGAGAUGGGGUUUCACCGUAUUAGCCAGGAUGGUCUCGAUCUCCUGACCUCGUGAUCUGCCCACCUUGGCCUCCCAAAGUGCUGGGAUUACAGGUGUGAGCCACCGUACCUGGCCCUCCAGUCCCAUCUUUUCUAACUUGAGCUCCUGCAAUAACUUCCUAGCUGGUCUGCCUACUCCACUCUCUAACUUCUCUAUAGGGCAGCUAGAGUUGUCUUUUCUAUGUUUUUAUUAUUUACAUAAUUAGGAAAAAACAUUUAAAAAUAUAGAAAAGUGCAGAGAUAUUAUAGCUAAUAUCCAUAUAUUUGCUACUCCAAAUCAACAGAUGCUUUUCCUCUAUUCUUUCUAUUAUCUAUCUAUCAUCUAUCUAUCUAUCUAUCUAUCUAUCUAUCUAUCUAUCAUCUAUCGUCUAUCUAUCUAUCUAUCUAUCUAAUCUAUCUUUAUUGAAAUAACACCCAUAUGGAAAAGUACAUAUAUCUUAAUGUACAUCUGUUGAAUGUUCACAAAGUGAACAGUCAUAUAACUGUACCACAAAAAGAAAAGGAACAUUACCCGCCUCUCCUUUUGCCCAUUUCUUGUUAUUCCCCCACCCUACCUGAUCACAGGUAACCACUAUCCUGAGUCCAAUAGCAUAGAUUAGUUUGCCUAUUUGUGAACUUUACAAAAAUACAGUCAUACAAUGUGUGUUUUUUUUGUGUUGUGUUUAUUUUGAACCUUCUUUUUAAGAAAGACAUUUUUAAAGAUAAACGGGAAGUCACCUGCAUUCUAAUUCUUCUAAUUCUUUUUCCUUCCCCAAAGGCAACCAGAAUCAUAAAUGUGAUAACAUAUUUAGUUGAUGUCUUUAUAUGUUUACAUAUUUAUAUAGCAUUACUUUGGAUGUGUUUUGUUUGUAUUCAAAUAAAUGGUUUUGCAAUAUAUGUUGGUUCUACCACUUGCUUAUUUCACAGAAUGGGCUUUCUAAACCACACAAUGGGUUAUGUGACUCUCUUUCCUUUUUAAACACCCCCACCCAUGCCUUUCCAGACUGUGGGUUCCUGGAAACAGGAGCAAUGUUUUGAUACUUCUUCUUAUUCUGUGAGUCCAACUCUGCGGCUCAUGCUUCAUAAAGAUGUUUCGGGUGAAUGAAUGCAUCAAUUAACAAAUGAGCAAAGUCUCUCACUUCAUAAAGAACUUGAAAGUCCUGAACAAAUACACCCUUCUCUACUGACCACCUUUUGGAGAAAGGUAUCCUCUUUUUAUCUUUUCUUUUACUUUUUUUUCUUUUUUCGUUUUGGCUGCUUUGUCUGUAAAACUGCCCAAAGACUUAAGUCCAUCAGCAAGCCCAGCACAGAAAUUUGACUUUAUAAAAUGUUCCUUCAGAAGAAGUAAAUAUUUCAGAACUGUGUACAAUCUUUGUAGCUUUGCUCCUGAUCUGUUCUUCUGGAAGAGGAGAUAGUAGUAUUCCUCCUAAGGUUUUUCUAACUAUAAACAGAGAAUUAUCAUAGUGAUGUAAGGAGAUUACAACAUUAAAUUCAUAUUUUGAUAAAUUGGUAAAACAUCAGUCAUCCUUCAAGUUAGCCAGCCCUGGGGUUUCUGUUGAAUUCUGUUGGUUCUUCCAGGCUCCCCAGAGGUGAGAUCAUGGCCAGAGGGAGAUGGGUCACUGCUGACAUUCUGAAGGGACAUCUCAGAGCUAUGCUGGGUAAAGGAAAACUGGUCCCAUCUGUCCAGCCUAACUACUGCUGAUAGCACCAAGACCCAGGGCCUUAUCCUCUCUCAGGACCCAGAUUCAUCCUUCCUAUCUCCUCCCCUCCCACAGAGCGCAGCCACCACCCUCAUUAAGCUAGCAUAAGGGAAACAUAUUCAUUUUAGAUUUUGAUUGGAAUCUUGGUUAUGCCACCAACUAUGGAUGAUCUGGACAAGUUCGUGACCUCUCCAACCCUCAGUGUUCUUAAGUGUGCUGUGGGAUAUAUUGUUACUAUUUCAUAGAUAUAUUGGGAGAAUUAAACUAUUGAGUGGUGCAGGAUGUGCAAAUAAUACUCAGUAUUUUUCUACUUGCAU